ACCUCUUCCAGAGUAUCAAUUGGAGGGCAAGUCUGGUGCCAGCAGCCGCGGUAAUUCCAGCUCCAAUAGCGUAUAUUAAAAUUGUUGCAGUUAAAAAGCUCGUAGUUGAAUUUCUGCUGCAUUGCUUGUGUCCCUCCGGGGUCUGUGCAUGUGGCUUUUUUCGGACGGAGUUUCUUUGUCUGAAUGUUUACUUUGAGAAAAUUAGAGUGCUCAAAGCAGGCUUUUGCCUUGAAUAGUUUAGCAUGGAAUAAUAAAGUAGGACUUUGGUUCUAUUUUGUUGGUUUUAGGUACCAAAGUAAUGGUUAAUAGGAACAGUUGGGGGCAUUCGUAUUUAACUGUCAGAGGUGAAAUUCUUAGA
rnacentral:rRNA from 1 species